CGGCCCGGUAGUUCAGUUGGUUAGAAUGCCGGCCUGUCACGCCGGAGGUCGAGGGUUCAAGUCCCUUCCGGGUCGCCAC
rnacentral:tRNA from 1 species